UGCAGUCGAGCGGCAGCACGGGGAGCUUGCUCCCUGGUGGCGAGCGGCGGACGGGUGAGUAAUGCAUAGGAAUCUGCCCGGUAGUGGGGGAUAACGUGGGGAAACCCACGCUAAUACCGCAUACGUCCUACGGGAGAAAGCGGAGGAUCUUCGGACUUCGCGCUAUCGGAUGAGCCUAUGUCGGAUUAGCUGGUUGGUAAGGUAACGGCUUACCAAGGCGACGAUCCGUAGCUGGUCUGAGAGGAUGAUCAGCCACACUGGGACUGAGACACGGCCCAGACUCCUACGGGAGGCAGCAGUGGGGAAUAUUGGACAAUGGGCGAAAGCCUGAUCCAGCCAUGCCGCGUGUGUGAAGAAGGCUUUCGGGUUGUAAAGCACUUUCAGCGAGGAAGAAAGCCUUUGGGUUAAUACCCCAGAGGAAGGACAUCACUCGCAGAAGAAGCACCGGCUAACUCCGUGCCAGCAGCCGCGGUAAUACGGAGGGUGCGAGCGUUAAUCGGAAUUACUGGGCGUAAAGCGCGCGUAGGUGGCUUGGCACGCCGGUUGUGAAAGCCCCGGGCUCAACCUGGGAACGGCAUCCGGAACGGCCAGGCUAGAGUGCAGGAGAGGAAGGUAGAAUUCCCGGUGUAGCGGUGAAAUGCGUAGAGAUCGGGGAGGAAUACCAGUGGCGAAGGCGGCCUUCUGGCCUGACACUGACACUGAGGUGCGAAAGCGUGGGUAGCAAACAGGAUUAGAUACCCUGGUAGUCCACGCCGUAAAACGAUGUCGACUAGCCGUUGGGACCUAUAAGGACUUAGUGCGCAGUUAACGCGAUAAGUCGACCGCCUGGGGAGUACGGCGCAAGGUUAAAA
rnacentral:rRNA from 1 species